rnacentral:rRNA from 1 species
AAUCAACGCUGGCGGCGUGCCUAACACAUGCAAGUCGUACGAGAAAGCGGGGGCAACUCCGCAAGUAAAGUGGCGAACGGGUGAGUAACGCGUGGGUGACCUACCUUCGAGUGGGGGAUAACGUCCCGAAAGGGACGCUAAUACCGCAUAAGACCUGGCGCUUGAUGAGGGGCCCGCGUCUGAUUAGCUAGUUGGUGAGGUAAUGGCCCACCAAGGCGACGAUCAGUAUCCGGCCUGAGAGGGCGGACGGACACACUGGGACUGAGACACGGCCCAGACUCCUACGGGAGGCAGCAGUGGGGAAUUGUUCGCAAUGGGCGCAAGCCUGACGACGCAACGCCGCGUGGAGGAUGAAGGUCUUCGGAUUGUAAACUCCUGUUGCCCGGGACGAAUAUGACGGUACCGGGUGAGGAAGCCCCGGCUAACUCUGUGCCAGCAGCCGCGGUAAUACAGAGGGGGCAAGCGUUGUUCGGAAUUACUGGGCGUAAAGGGCGCGUAGGCGGCCUGCUAAGUCGAACGUGAAAUCCCCGGGCUCAACCCGGGAACUGCGUCCGAUACUGGCUGGCUUGAAUCCGGGAGAGGGAUGCGGAAUUCCAGGUGUAGCGGUGAAAUGCGUAGAUAUCUGGAGGAACACCGGUGGCGUAGGCGGCUCUCUGGGCCAAUACUGACGCUGAGGCGCGAAAGCCAGGGGAGCAAACGGGAUUAGAUACCCCGGUAGUCCUGGCCCUAAACGUUGGAUACUAGGUGUAGGAGGCAUCGACCCCUUCUGUGCCGCAGCUAACGCAUUAAGUAUCCCGCCUGGGGAGUACGACCGCAAGGUUGAAACUCAAAGGAAUUGACGGGGGCCCGCACAAGCGGUGGAGUAUGUGGUUUAAUUCGACGCAACGCGAAGAACCUUACCGGGGCUUGACAUGCACAGGACAGGCGUGGAAACACGCUCUCCCUUCGGGGUCUGUGCACAGGUGCUGCAUGGCUGUCGUCAGCUCGUGUCGUGAGAUGUUGGGUUAAGUCCCGCAACGAGCGCAACCCUUGCCCUUAGUUGCCAUCAUUCAGUUGGGAACUCUAAGGGGACUGCCGGUGAUAAGCCGGAGGAAGGUGGGGAUGACGUCAAGUCCUCAUGGCCCUUACGCCCCGGGCUACACACGUACUACAAUGGCCGGUACAGAGGGUCGCAAUGUCGCGAGACGGAGCCAAUCCCAAAAAGCCGGCCUCAGUUGGGAUCGUAGUCUGCAACUCGACUACGUGAACGCGGAAUCGCUAGUAAUCGCGGAUCAGCACGCCGCGGUGAAUACGUUCCCGGGCCUUGUACACACCGCCCGUCACACCAUGGGAGUUGGUUUCACCCGAAGGCGCUACGCUAACCCGCAAGGGAGGCAGGCGACCACGGUG